ACCCCAUUCAUACAGAAUCACCGAGAUAUCUGGUAGAUUGGGGGUUGAAAAUCAGCGAGAGGGAUCGGUGUACGGUAGCACCGUGGUACCGUGCGGUAUGACAAUCAGCGACACAGGUCGGAGAUGAUCGCCCCGUAUCUUGGUGUAAGCUGAUCAUAUAUAGGUAAUCAGGCGCGCUGUUCGUGACCCUACGGUUAGCUGGAGGUCACAAUAGUCAACAUGGCGGCUCAGGUUCGGAGGGUCCAGGACCAGGAAACUCUGUUCCAACUUUCAAGCAUAUUCCACGGAAACCAGUUCAACAGUUCAUUGAUGUCUGGAAAUGUGAACUGGCAGAAGUAGGGAAGCUGAUUCCACAGCUGAAGAUGAAGCUCAUCAUGCAUCACUGCUGUCCGUUUGUAUAGAGUCAACAUCCUUGGUCUGACUGAAGACUACAUGGCAUAUAGAAAAAUAUGACAUUGUCAGGUAGAUUGGUUGAAAAUACGGUGUCCUGAUGAAUUGUAGAAUGUUUCCGAAUAAGUCUCCUGACUAAAGCAUAUACUUGUCGUGAAUGUACAAUGUACAUGUAUUUUGUAUUUAUAUGUAGCACAAUAAGUCUGCUAAUACUAAGUGUUAUGUGAGUUUGCUUCUCCGAUUGGAGUACCGCAUAUACCUGUAUUUUUCGACAGUUUGAUAUGCAAUU